GACGAACGCUGGCGGCGUGCCUAAUACAUGCAAGUAGAACGCUGAAGGAGGAGCUUGCUUCUCUGGAUGAGUUGCGAACGGGUGAGUAACGCGUAGGUAACCUGCCUGGUAGCGGGGGAUAACUAUUGGAAACGAUAGCUAAUACCGCAUAAUAGUAGAUGUUGCUUGACAUUUGCUUAAAAGGUGCAAUUGCAUCACUACCAGAUGGACCUGCGUUGUAUUAGCUAGUUGGUGAGGUAACGGCUCACCAAGGCGACGAUACAUAGCCGACCUGAGAGGGUGAUCGGCCACACUGGGACUGAGACACGGCCCAGACUCCUACGGGAGGCAGCAGUAGGGAAUCUUCGGCAAUGGACGGAAGUCUGACCGAGCAACGCCGCGUGAGUGAAGAAGGUUUUCGGAUCGUAAAGCUCUGUUGUAAGAGAAGAACGAGUGUGAGAGUGGAAAGUUCACACUGUGACGGUAUCUUACCAGAAAGGGACGG
rnacentral:rRNA from 1 species